rnacentral:rRNA from 1 species
UACGGAGGGGGCAAGCGUUAUUCGGAAUCAUUGGGCGUAAAGGGCGCGUAGGCGGCCUGGCAAGUCAAAGGUGAAAUCCCUCGGCCCAACCGAGGAACUGCCUUUGAAACUGCAAGCUUGAGGCCGGGAGAGGGUAGCGGAAUUCCCAGUGUAGCGGUGAAAUGCGUAGAUAUUGGGAGGAACACCAGUGGCGAAGGCGGCUACCUGGACCGGUUCUGACGCUGAGGCGCGAAAAGCGU